rnacentral:lncRNA from 1 species
CUCCUCAUCAUCUGACUCCAACAGACUGAGAUCAAAAUCCAGAGCUAUCUUCUUGACCUUCUCUUUGAGGUCAGAGAUACCCUACGCAUAUGAGGCCACACCGAAGUCCACUUUGAUGUCGCAGACUCGAUCGAAGAUUUGAAGGCCUCAACCACAGUGACCUUCGGCUCAUCUUCGUAUUUUUUCAUCUCGACUGAAAGUCGAGCUUCAGAUUCUGCCCGAGCUUUAGAAAGCUUGAAUUUCAGUUGCUUCACUUCUUCUUCCAGUGACUUGGCCUUCUUUACAACUUUAAAUGAUGAUCGUCACUUACUCGAAGCAUGGAGUCAU